CCCAAAUCCUGUUCGAAUAUUUAAUUUGACAAAAAUCGUAAGAUUGAGUUAGAUUCGAUCGAUUCGAUUAAGGAGAUUUGCCCUGUCAUAACCCUAACCCACAAAUCAAGAAAAUCAGUUACCCAAAUCCUUAAAUCACCGCCAUUGUUAACCGCUUGAAGAGCGACCCAAGCGUGAAGAAGCAGCACCCAUUGCAUUUCAGACUCCGAGCAAGGCCUCAUCGUGGUAAAAUGGAUGGACUGUUUGAAGAGAAGAAGAAGAAGAUGACGAUGAGAUGACAUAGAAAGUGCGGAUGAUGAGAGGGAAAAUGACAGAGCUGUAUUGCUUGCCGAGGAUGAAGAAAGAGAGGCAGCUGAAAUUGGGUACAAAGCUAUCAGCCCGCAUCAAAAGUCCGGCCGGGUCUUCAAACCAUACGAACCGGCUCUUGCUGUGGUUCAGAUUGGGUCGCAUCAGUUUAAGGUGAGCAAUGGGGAUUGCGUAUACGCAGAGACAUUGAAGUACUGCGACAUCAAUGGUAAGGUUAUUAAAAUGACUAUUAGUUUGCAUUAAUUCUCUUUUAUCGGUCCUAUCAUUUAUCAAAAGUGCGGAAAAAAUUAUUUCUUAUUGCUUAUAAGAUUCCUAGUCAUUUUCAUUACUUUAUAUAAUAAAGUGUUGAAUCUUGAGAUAUUCAUUUAAUCUCAUCACAGAUUCACAGGGUAGCUGAAUAUGAAAUUGUAGUUUGCUUAUUUGUAGUUAUGAAAUGGAAAGAUUUGAUUGCUUGAACUUUUCUGGGAAUACUUUGCAAAUAUCUUGGACUUAACAUUACUAAUUCUUUGUUCCAAGCAAAACCAUGUGCAAUUUAUAAUUAACCCAAAGUUUCAUAUUUUCCUACAGCAUCAUGCUGUUAGUUAUUAAAAGUUAAAAUUCUGAUAAUGCUUUAUGAUUGAAGGUAUAGGUAGUAGGUCAUAAAUUUGACAUUUGAAGGUAUAGGUAGUAGGUCAUAAAUUUGACAUAAGGCUUUUUGAACCACAUCACCAUAUAUUUUGUUUGGGGCAAGCUAGAUACCUCAUUAUCUCUCUCAAUGAUGUUCUUUUAGAAAUCAACUUCAUGUAUUCGUAUAUGUUUUUGUGUUCAUGUAUCUACGUGUUGAUGUUAGCUAUGCAGCUGUUCAUGCUGUUGUUGAGGAGCAUGUAAGAUAUUUCUAGAUAGAAUACUUAAUUCAUCUGCAGCUUGUCGGAGAUCUGACUAUUCUUCAUAUAUACAUACAUAUCUGAAAAUGGAACUGAAAUCUAUUGCUCUCAUCUCCUGGCUCCUCCCAAAGACAUAAAACCAGGUACAAAAAAUUUGAGUCUGUCAAGCUUUAUCAAUUAUUUUAUCAUCCUCUGUUCUCCUUUACUAUGAAAACUUAUAUCCCUAAGUAUUUAUUCUGAGGAAAAUGAUUGUGGAAUUAGGUGAGCUUUGCAGAGAACUAUGGCAAUUAUAAGCUUUGUGAAUCUUUUCAUUUUAUUUUCUUUUAUGAUAUUGGUUUGUUAAAAAAUUUUAGUUGGAGAGAAAAAUAUUAUUAUUAUUAUUAUUAUUAUUAUUAUUAUUAUUAUUAUUAUUAUUAUUAUUAUUAUUAUUAUUAUACCUGAGUGAUAAUGAACUUAAAGUUGUACAAAUAAAUUUGUGAUCCUAAGGACUGGAUUAAGGUCUCUACGAGGCAAUGAUAGUAUAUAUGAUUAUGAAAUUUCACUAUGCUUCAACUAUUGAUUGGAAUUAAAUGCUUAUUGAUUACAGUUUUACGGUUUAUCCCCCUUCCCGUGCCUUGUCACAGCCCACAAGGAAGUAUCUUUAAUCCUUGUGCAGAAGACAUGGAUGAGGAGCUACUUGCUUCUUUGAUAGGGGAAUUGACUUGCUGUCAGGACAUCUUGCUUUCUUUCUGAUUUGCUAUAUUUACCCAUAGUCAUUUAUCUCUUGUGGGAGACAUAAACAGUUUGGCCUUUGAUUGAUUUCAUUAGCUAAUGAUGGGUGCUAUCCUGAUUUUCUAUCUAUGAUUUUUGUUGCGAUACCUUGUGACAAGAUUUUCCAAUUGAAACUAUUUUAAACCAAAAGUGCAUAUGGGCAAAUUAGGAUUAAGGAGCUUCCCCUCCCCUGUGGCUGAAGCUUUGCUUGUAAGUUGUAACAGGAUUUUCUCUUCCAUCUGAUAAUCUCACCAUCAUGAGUUUUAUUAUCCAACGUUUCUUUUCUCUUGCAGGCAUUAAAUGCAAAAGUGAUCAUAUUCAAGAAAAAGAGAAGUAAGAAUUAUAGAAGAACAAAAGGGCAUAGACAGGAGUUGACCAAAUUGAGGAUGACAGAUAUUAGGGAUAUCUUCGAAGACACAGAAGAAACACAAGCUGCCAUCUUUGAAGACAGAGAAGAAUGAAAAGUCAGUAAAGAUAACGAUCAUGGCUUAAUCAUGACUUGUGCUCACAGCGUUGGAUCUUUUUGAUGUACAUUUUUUUUCUUUAACAGCUCCACUGCUGCCCACGCCCCCAAGGGGUAGGGUAUGAGGCAGGCUGUAUUCUCGUUUUAUUUUCUUCUCCAUUUUCCCAGAACUGAUAUCUGAUAGUUAUUUGAAACUUGUUGUAAAUGCUGCCUGAGACAUCGUUGCAUCUUCGUCCGUUCUCUCACCAUAUAAGCCGGAUGUUAUGUGAGCAAACGCCCCAGGGAAACAGCAUUGUUGUGAAGCUUCAAGCUCUGUAUUAGUGGUGGAAAUGAUGUGAAUUUUUUUAAGCAGAUUUUUCCUUCAUAUCA